AAAGGUUGACCUCGGAUCAGGUAGGAAUACCCGCUGAACUUAAGCAUAUCAAUAAGCGGAGGAAAUCGAAUU
rnacentral:rRNA from 1 species